rnacentral:rRNA from 1 species
UACGGAGGAUGCAAGCGUUAUCCGGAUUUAUUGGGUUUAAAGGGUGCGCAGGUUGUUUGAUAAGUCAGUGGUGAAAGUCUGUCGCUUAACGGUAGGAUUGCCAUUGAUACUGUUAGACUUGAAUAUGGAUGAGGUAGGCGGAAUGUGUAGUGUAGCGGUGAAAUGCAUAGACAUUACACAGAACACCGAUUGCGAAGGCAGCUUACUAAUCCAUCAUUGACGCUGAGGCACGAAAGCGUGGGGAGUCAAACA